GGGCGACGCCAUGGAAGGGCCAACAACACCAGCAGCUAUGGACAUGCAGGCUGCUGCCCUCCCUGAUGCAUCAUGCGCGCAUGCCACAAGGAGGGAAGAACACUGCUCUGCUACUUCCUGGGUCGCCAUGGAAGGGUAAAGAGGUCAACCUCUUCCAAUACACAAUUGUUGAGUGAGAGAGGACAUUGACGGUGCGAGAAUGGAACACAACAAGUUUUGUGUGUGUGUGCAUUACCGAAACGUCGCACGACAUGGUGAAAGUUAUGGAAUUUUUGCUGUAACCGCCUGGACGAAGAUGACAGGGCUAACCGGCUAACAAAGAUGCAUUCAAGUUGAAGAUUCAGAGUUGCAAGGCAGGCACAGUUAACAAGGAUAAGAAAUUGUAGAAGAUUUAUCAAAUCAGACAUGGGCUUGGUUAUGCACUGAAUCAUUGUGGGGGAUCUGAGGUAAUCAGACCAUACACCCAAACUUAAAUUUUACUUGCUUUUAAAUGUUUAGGAGGCAGAUGAUGUUUGAUAUGCUAGACUAAAGUACACACCUUUUAAGAGUAUAUCACUGAUACUCCAGUCAUCAAUAAAUUCGGAAGUGCGUACUGCUUGGAUUAUUGGAGCUCAUUUUAUCUCUUUUACAUUCUGGUAAACAUGUGGGUGAAUAACAAUUAGAAAUUGUUCUAUAUGUACACGGGAAUUCUAAUAGAACUGAUGCUUGAAAUGAUAAAAAGUUCUAUAAUAUUUGUUAGCCGAGCACCGGAAAAGCUCACUCCUCACACCAGAUCACCAUCGCCGACGUAUAUACUUUUUCGUAACAGAGUCCACAUGUUUACUCAUGUUCUCUGUUUUUUGUUGUUUCGGGGAAGGUUGUUAGGAGCCCAUCUCUUCUGCAGCCCUGGAGAAAGAGAGCUAGAUAUAGUGGUACUUGCUAGCGUUUUAAUGGACACCUCCUUUUGGCCUUUUUUAGUUUCUCUAAUAAUUAGCUAAGAGACUUCAGUGAGUGAGAUUUUUUUGAUCCCUCCCUUUUUCUGUGUCUUUUGGAGUUUUGCUUUGUGGUGAAAGGAGGAUAGAGAUACUCAACAGGGGCCGCCCUCUUCCUCGUCCGAACAAGAUCCCCAAGAGCCUGUACCCACUUGAGAAGAGCUCGAUGAGCUGCACAGCCUCACACAUGAGGAGCAGGAGGCCCAGGGAGGAGGAGUCGUUUGUUUACAGUAGGAAGAUUGGCUUAUGACCUGGUGCAUACCUGCAUGGUAUUUUCAGUAGAGAUGAUUCAAAAUCAAAUCAGCUGUUUGUUAAGGAUGGAACUGGAACCAAACUUGGUAGUUGAAAUAAUUCUCUGUCUUAAUUCAAGGAGGACCCUAUAUCUAAAGGUAACAGAGCAGUUUAUAUCAUAAUUCCAUUGCUGGAUUUCUAGAAGAAUGAAAAAGGGAGAAAUGGUUGUUUCAUUUGGUGUGCGGAUCUGGUUUAAAGUGUGCGUGCUUAUAUCUGGAAGAUCUUGGUUGCAAAAGUAUAUCAGGAAGAUCUUGGUUGCAAAAGUGAUCAGAUAUACUCCUCUGUACCAAAAUAUAAGACGUUUUUUUUCAGUUCAAUUGAAUUGCAAAAAUGUUUUGUAUUUUCGUACGGAGGGAGUAAUAGUCAACACGGCCUCAUUGGUUCUGUAAUUAAAUGCCUAUGAUCUUGUAAUUCUGAAUCAAAUAGUUUGAUUACACAAAGAAUGAUAUUUACUUUGUGUAAGAUCUUGUAAUUCUGAACCAAGUUAAUUCUGAAUCAAAUAUUUUUUCUACUAUUCUAUAUGUAAUAAAUAGAGCACAAAGAAUGAUAUUUUCUUUGUCAGCAUA